CCCGCCCUCCGUCCCCUCCCCUCCCCUCCCCGCCCCUCCGCCCGCCCCUCCCCCUCCCUUCCCGUUCCGGUCCCGCCCCGCCUCCCCCGCGCCGCUCGCCCCGCUCCCCCCUCCCGCUCCGCCGCCCCGCCCGGGCGGCCCGCGCUGGCCCAGGCCCGGCCCCGGGGUGGCGGCGGCGGCGGCAGCAGCCCCGGCCCCGGCCCCGGCCCCGGCCCGGCGGCGCAGGGCCCGGCCCGGCCCGGUGAGUGCGGGGGGACGGGGGAGACGGGAGGCCGGGAGCGGGAGCGAGACCGGGGCGUGGGGCUGGGAGCGGGGCGAGACAGGGAGCGGGGCCGGGGCCCGGGCCGAGACCGGGACCGGGACCGGGAUCGGAGCCGUCGGGGCGUUGGGCCGGUCCCCCUCUCGCUGCCCCCGGGACCGGACCGGCCGCGGGUCUCCAGCCUCCAGGGCGAGCCCCGGCGGCGCCCUCCCGUUCCCCGCCGGGUCCCCGCCACCGGGAGCAGCCGGCGGAGCACCGGCAGCGCGGUUCCGCCCGGCCCGGGGCCGCGGCGGCUCCCGGUGGAGGCGGAGCAGCAACAGGUGAGCGGGGCCCGGCGCCGCCAUGGCCGCGGGCCGCCCGGUUCGGUGGCCCGGGAGCACGGGGAGGGGAUCCCGGCCCGCGGCGGCGGAGCCUUCGCCUCGAAACCCGGCCCUGGAGCGUUAACGGCCCCCUGCCGGUAGGGAGCGGGGAGCCGCUGGGGUGCUGGGGGGCUCCGCGGGGGGUGCGCUGGGGGUUACCCGGGGGGUGGUGCGGUGGCUCCACGGCCUCUGUCGCGUGGCGGGGGUAAACCCUCGCCGUGCGUCGUGCCGGGAGGCGCCGGGGUUCGGUUCUUCCGAAAACCCCCGGGCGUCGGGGUUGCCGCCGGCUCCUGCCGGGGCGGCGUUCCGGCCGCGGGUCUCCCAGGUAAGCGGGUGCUGCGCCCAGCGGGCCCCUUCGUCCCCCUGAAACGGGCUCGGAGGUGGCCCCCGUGAGCUCCUCGC
rnacentral:lncRNA from 1 species